UUGUCCGGAAUUACUGGGCGUAAAGAGCUCGUAGGUGGUUUGUCGCGUUGUUCGUGAAAUCUCACGGCUUAACUGUGAGCGUGCGGGCGAUACGGGCAGACUUGAGUACUGCAGGGGAGACUGGAAUUCCUGGUGUAGCGGUGGAAUGCGCAGAUAUCAGGAGGGACACCGGUGGCGAAGGCGGGUCUCUGGGCAGUAACUGACGCUGAGGAGCGAAAGCGUGGGGAGCGAACAGGAUUAGAUACCCUGGUAGUCCACGCCGUAAACGGUGGGUACUAGGUGUGGGUUUCCUUCCUUGGGAUCCGUGCCGUAGCUAACGCAUUAAGUACCCCGCCUGGGGAGUACGGCCGCAAGGCUAAAACUCAAAGAAAUUGACGGGGGCCCGCACAAGCGGCGGAGCAUGUGGAUUAGUUCGAUGCAACGCGAAGAACCUUACCUGGGUUUGACAUGCACAGGACGCCGGCAGAGAUGUCGGUUCCCUUGUGGCCUGUGUGCAGGUGUGCAUGGCUGUCGUCAGCUCGUGUCGUGAGAUGUUGGGUUAAGUCCCGCAACGAGCGCAACCCUUGUCUCAUGUUGCCAGCGGGUAAUGCCGGGGACUCGUGAGAGACUGCCGGGGUCAACUCGGAGGAAGGUGGGGAUGACGUCAAGUCAUCAUGCCCCUUAUGUCCAGGGCUUCACACAUGCUACAAUGGCCGGUACAAAGGGCUGCGAUGCCGCGAGGUUAAGCGAAUCCUUUUAAAGCCGGUCUCAGUUCGGAUCGGGGUCUGCAACUCGACCCCGUGAAGUCGGAGUCGCUAGUAAUCGCAGAUCAGCAACGCUGCG
rnacentral:rRNA from 1 species